GGAGUUCCACCUUGUGGACACGUUGCAUUUGUCUAUUCUGCACAAGGUACAGACAAGUCUGGUGGGAUCCAUGCCUGAUUCAUUUUGAGAAAGGUGAGCUUGUCCACGUUGGCCGUGGACAGGCGGCUGCACUUGUCUGUGAUAACCUUGUGCUGAUCGCAUGUCCCCGUGACGGCGACAACGCAUUCGGAUGUCUGCCCUAUCAACUUUAGAUGCUAUUUUCCACGCCUACCAUGGUGACCACAGGUAACGGGAAAAUCAGGGUUUGAUUCCAG